rnacentral:rRNA from 1 species
AUCUAUACUGUGAAACUGCGAAUGGCUCAUUAAAUCAGUUAUCGUUUAUUUGAUAGUACCUUACUACUUGGAUAACCGUGGUAAUUCUAGAGCUAAUACAUGCUAAAAACCCCGACUUCGGGAGGGGUGUAUUUAUUAGAUAAAAAACCAAUGCCCUUCGGGGCUCCUUGGUGAAUCAUGAUAACUUAACGAAUCGCAUGGCCUUGCGCCGGCGAUGGUUCAUUCAAAUUUCUGCCCUAUCAACUUUCGAUGGUAGGAUAGUGGCCUACCAUGGUAUCAACGGGUAACGGGGAAUUAGGGUUCUAUUCCGGAGAGGGAGCCUGAGAAACGGCUACCACAUCCAAGGAAGGCAGCAGGCGCGCAAAUUACCCAAUCCCGACACGGGGAGGUAGUGACAAUAAAUACUGAUACAGGGCUCUUUUGGGUCUUGUAAUUGGAAUGAGUACAAUUUAAAUACCUUAACGAGGAACAAUUGGAGGGCAAGUCUGGUGCCAGCAGCCGCGGUAAUUCCAGCUCCAAUAGCGUAUAUUAAAGUUGUUGCAGUUAAAAAGCUCGUAGUUGAACCUUGGGCCUGGCUGGCCGGUCUGCCUCACCGCAUGUACUGGUUCGGCCGGGCCUUUCCUCCUGGGGAUCCGCAUGCCCUUCACUGGGUGUGUUGGGGAACCAGGACUUUUACUUUGAAAAAAUUAGAGUGUUCAAAGCAGGCCUUUGCUCGAAUACAUUAGCAUGGAAUAAUAGAAUAGGACGUGCGGUCCUAUUUUGUUGGUUUCUAGGACCGCCGUAAUGAUUAAUAGGGAUAGUCGGGGGCAUCAGUAUUCAGUUGUCAGAGGUGAAAUUCUUGGAUUUACUGAAGACUAACUACUGCGAAAGCAUUUGCCAAGGAUGUUUUCAUUAAUCAGUGAACGAAAGUUAGGGGAUCGAAGACGAUCAGAUACCGUCGUAGUCUUAACCGUAAACUAUGCCGACUAGGGAUCGGGCGAUGUUAUUCUUUUGACUCGCUCGGCACCUUACGAGAAAUCAAAGU